CACACUGGAGGAGCAAUUACCCUUGCUGUGUUCACUUUAUUUGUGACUAACCACACAAGGACGGUUCCUUUUUGGGUAUC
rnacentral:pre_miRNA from 12 species